UACAGAGGUCCCAAGCGUUGUUCGGAUUCAUUGGGCGUAAAGGGUGCGUAGGCUGCGCCAUAAGUCGGAUGUGAAAUCUCGGGGCUCAACCCUGAAACUGCAUUCGAUACUGUGGUGCUAGAGGACUCUAGAGGAAACUGGAAUUCACGGUGUAGCAGUGAAAUGCGUAGAUAUCGUGAGGAACACCAGAGGCGAAGGCGGUUACCUGGACAGUUACUGACGCUCAGGCACGAAAGCAUGGGGAGCAAAAGGG
rnacentral:rRNA from 1 species